UGCAUGUCUAAGUAUAAGCAAUUAUACAGCGAAACUGCGAAUGGCUCAUUAUAUAAGUUAUCGUUUAUUUGAUAGUACCUUACUACUUGGAUAACCGUGGUAAUUCUAGAGCUAAUACAUGCUAAAAAUCCCGACUUCGGAAGGGAUGUAUUUAUUAGAUUAAAAACCAAUGCCCUUCGGGGCUCCUUGGUGAUUCAUGAUAACUCCUCGAAUCGCAUGGCCUUGUGCCGGCGAUGGUUCAUUCAAAUUUCUUCCCUAUCAACUUUCGAUGUUUGGGUAUUGGCCAAACAUGGUUGCAACGGGUAACGGAGGGUUAGGGCUCGACCCCGGAGAAGGAGCCUGAGAAACGGCUACUACAUCCAAGGAAGGCAGCAGGCGCGCAAAUUACCCAAUCCCGACACGGGGAGGUAGUGACAAUAAAUACUGAUACAGGGCUCUUUUGGGUCUUGUAAUUGGAAUGAGUACAAUUUAAAUCCCUUAACGAGGAACAAUUGGAGGGCAAGUCUGGUGCCAGCAGCCGCGGUAAUUCCAGCUCCAAUAGCGUAUAUUAAAGUUGUUGUGGUUAAAAAGCUCGUAGUUGAACCUUGGGCCUGGCUGGCCGGUCCGCCUCACCGCGUGUACUGGUCCGGCCGGGCCUUUCCCUCUGUGGAACCCCAUGCCCUUCACUGGGUGUGGCGGGGAAACAGGACUUUUACUUUGAAAAAAUUAGAGUGCUCCAGGCAGGCCUAUGCUCGAAUACAUUAGCAUGGAAUAAUAGAAUAGGACGUGUGGUUCUAUUUUGUUGGUUUCUAGGACCGCCGUAAUGAUUAAUAGGGACAGUCGGGGGCAUCAGUAUUCAAUUGUCAGAGGUGAAAUUCUUGGAUUUAUUGAAGACUAACUACUGCGAAAGCAUUUGCCAAGGAUGUUUUCAUUAAUCAGGAACGAAAGUUAGGGGAUCGAAGACGAUCAGAUACCGUCGUAGUCUUAACCAUAAACUAUGCCGACUAGGGAUCGGACGAUGUUAUUUUUUGACUCGUUCGGCACCUUACGAGAAAUCAAAGUGCUUGGGCUCCAGGGGGAGUAUGGUCGCAAGGCUGAAACUUAAAGAAA
rnacentral:rRNA from 1 species